rnacentral:rRNA from 1 species
UACAGAGGGUGCGAGCGUUAAUCGGAAUUACUGGGCGUAAAGCGUGCGUAGACGGUAGCGUAAGUCAGAUGCGAAAGCCCCGGGCUCAACCUGGGAAUUGCAUUUGAGACUGCUCUGCUCGGGUGCGGAAGAGGGAAGCGGAAUUUCCGGUGUAGCGGUGAAAUGCGUAGAUAUCGGAAGGAACACCAGUGGCGAAAGCGGCUUCCUGGUCCGACACCGACGUUCAGGCACGAAAGCGUGGGGAGCAAACAGG